CCAGGACCAAACGAAGGGCUAAUUUUUUUUCAGGAGCAGGUGAAGGUUCCUAAUUUUUAACCCUAAUAAAAACAGAAGGCCUCAUACUUUCCCCCUCAACCUCUCUCUCAUCUCAUUCGCAGGGACAGCAAAAUCAGGCGUAUCAGCAAGUCAUUUGCAUAAAGUCAGUGAUAUUCCAUAAUCAGUCGCCAUGUCGGACGAGGAGCCUGUUGACCCCAAGAAGUUACUUGAGGAUGGCUGCAAAGCAAAGUGCGUCAGACCUUGGUUUGCAUACAGGGAAUGUGUUAAGAGGAUCAAGGAUGACGAUAGUGGCCAAAAACACUGCACCGGACAAUACUUUGAUUACUGGUCUUGUGUUGACAAAUGUGUUGCGCCGUUGCUUUUUAAAUAUGUCAAAUAGAGGAUUCGGAAGGAGAUUUUGUGGGUCUUACUCUCAAUGUUACCACCCAAAUAAUACCUUAUUUUGAACUUUAGAUUGGUACCAUUAUGUAGACCUAAAACUAGCAAUAUGCUUGCUUAAUUUCUUCAUAAAGACAAAUUUUGAAUUAUGAAGAUCUUUGUUCAAGUUGAUUAAUCAAGGUUCGGUCUUUCGUGUUUGAUAUUGGAUUGAGUUAACUGUAAGAAAAUUGGAUGAGUACAAUUGAGUGAGUUGAUUCUGAGCAGUAAACUGCAGUUCUUUUUGUUUGUUUUUCCAA